rnacentral:rRNA from 1 species
GAGCGGCGGACGGGUGAGUAACGCGUGGGUAACCUGCCUCAUACAGGGGGAUAACAGUUAGAAAUGGCUGCUAAUACCGCAUAAGCGCACAGGACCGCAUGGUCUGGUGUGAAAAACUCCGGUGGUAUGGGAUGGACCCGCGUUGGAUUAGCUAGUUGGUGGGGUAACGGCCCACCAAGGCGACGAUCAGUAGCCGACCUGAGAGGGUGAUCGGCCACAUUGGAACUGAGACACGGUCCAAACUCCUACGGGAGGCAGCAGUGGGGAAUAUUGCACAAUGGGCGCAAGCCUGAUGCAGCAACGCCGCGUGAGCGAUGAAGGCCUUCGGGUCGUAAAGCUCUGUCCUCAAGGAAGAUAAUGACGGUACUUGAGGAGGAAGCCCCGGCUAACUACGUGCCAGCAGCCGCGGUAAUACGUAGGGGGCUAGCGUUAUCCGGAUUUACUGGGCGUAAAGGGUGCGUAGGCGGUCUUUCAAGUCAGGAGUUAAAGGCUACGGCUCAACCGUAGUAAGCUCCUGAUACUGUCUGACUUGAGUGCAGGAGAGGAAAGCGGAAUUCCCAGUGUAGCGGUGAAAUGCGUAGAUAUUGGGAGGAACACCAGUAGCGAAGGCGGCUUUCUGGACUGUAACUGACGCUGAGGCACGAAAGCGUGGGGAGCAAACAGGAUUAGAUACCCUGGUAGUCCACGCUGUAAACGAUGAGUAACUAGGUGUCGGAGGUUACCCCCUUCGGUGCCGCAGUUAACACAAUAAGUAUUCCACCUGGGGAGUACGACCGCAAGGUUGAAACUCAAAGGAAUUGACGGGGGCCCGCACAAGCAGUGGAUUAUGUGGUUUAAUUCGACGCAACGCGAAGAACCUUACCAAGUCUUGACAUCCCUCUGACCGCACCUUAACCGGUGCUUUCCUUCGGGACAGAGGAGACAGGUGGUGCAUGGUUGUCGUCAGCUCGUGUCGUGAGAUGUUGGGUUAAGUCCCGCAACGAGCGCAACCCCUAUCCUUAGUAGCCAGCAGUUCGGCUGGGCACUCUGAGGAGACUGCCAGGGAUAACCUGGAGGAAGGCGGGGAUGACGUCAAAUCAUCAUGCCCCUUAUGAUUUGGGCUACACACGUGCUACAAUGGCGUAAACAAAGGGAAGCGAGAGGGUGACAAGGAGCAAAUCCCAAAAAUAACGUCCCAGUUCGGACUGUAGUCUGCAACCCGACUACACGAAGCUGGAAUAAAGAGUAAUCGCGGAUCAGAAUGCCGCGGUGAA